UACGGAGGGUGCAAGCGUUGCUCGGAAUCACUGGGCGUAAAGGGCGUGUAGGCGGUUUCGUAUGUCUGGCGUGAAAGCCCCGGGCUCAACCCGGGAAGUGCGUUGGAAACUGCGAAACUAGAGUCUCGGAGAGGAAGGUGGAAUUCCAGGUGUAGCGGUGAAAUGCGUAGAUAUCUGGAAGAACACCGGUGGCGAAGGCGGCCUUCUGGACGAUGACUGACGCUGAGACGCGAAAGCGUGGGGGAGCAAACAGG
rnacentral:rRNA from 1 species